rnacentral:rRNA from 1 species
GAUGAACGCUGGCGGCGUGCCUAAUACAUGCAAGUCGAGCGAACAGAUGAGGAGCUUGCUCCUCUGACGUUAGCGGCGGACGGGUGAGUAACACGUGGAUAACCUACCUAUAAGACUGGGAUAACUUCGGGAAACCGGAGCUAAUACCGGAUAAUAUAUUGAACCGCAUGGUUCAAUAGUGAAAGACGGUUUUGCUGUCACUUAUAGAUGGAUCCGCGCCGCAUUAGCUAGUUGGUAAGGUAACGGCUUACCAGGGCAACGAUGCGUAGCCGACCUGAGAGGGUGAUCGGCCACACUGGAACUGAGACACGGUCCAGACUCCUACGGGAGGCAGCAGUAGGGAAUCUUCCGCAAUGGGCGAAAGCUUGACGGAGCAACGCCGCGUGAGUGAUGAAGGUCUUCGGAUCGUAAAACUCUGUUAUUAGGGAAGAACAAAUGUGUAAGUAACUAUGCACGUCUUGACGGUACCUAAUCAGAAAGCCACGGCUAACUACGUG